rnacentral:rRNA from 1 species
CCACGGAGGCUCCAGUGAGGAAUAUUGCACAAUGGGGGGAACCCUGAUGCAGCAACGCCGCGUGGAGGAUGACGCAUUUCGGUGUGUAAACUCCUUUUAUAUGUCAGGAAAAUGACGGUAGCAUAUGAAUAAGCACCGGCUAACUCCGUGCCAGCAGCCGCGGUAAUACGGAGGGUGCAAGCGUUACUCGGAAUCACUGGGCGUAAAGGACGCGUAGGCGGGUUGGAAAGUCAGGUGUGAAAUCCUACAGCUUAACUGUAGAACUGCACUUGAAACUUCUAAUCUAGAGUAUGGGAGGGGGAGAUGGAAUUAGUGGUGUAGGGGUAAAAUCCGUAGAUAUCACUAGGAAUACCUAAAGCGAAGGCGAUCUCCUGGAACAUUACUGACGCUAAGGCGUGAAAGCGUGGGGAGCAAACAGGAUUAGAUACCCCAGUAGUC